rnacentral:rRNA from 1 species
UACGGAGGGGGUUAGCGUUGUUCGGAAUUACUGGGCGUAAAGCGCGCGUAGGCGGACUAGAAAGUUGGGGGUGAAAUCCCGGGGCUCAACCUCGGAACUGCCUCCAAAACUGCUAGUCUAGAGUUCGAGAGAGGUGAGUGGAAUUCCGAGUGUAGAGGUGAAAUUCGUAGAUAUUGUGAAGAAUACCAAUGGCGAAGGCAGCCUCCUGGAUCUGUACUGACGCUGAGGGACGAAAGCGUGGGGAGCGAACAGG